AGAAUUCCCUAGAAGGGGAAAGGAUGGUGAGAUCAAGGUGAGGAAGAAGGUAAAGAAAGGGAGAUCAUCAUCCAUUGCACUCCAGAUGUGCUGACCCCUGCGAUUUCCCCAAAUGUGGGAAACUCGACUGCAUAAUUUGUGGUAUGUGGGGGACUGCGUUCGCGCUUUCCCCUA
rnacentral:snRNA from 1 species